rnacentral:rRNA from 1 species
UACGUAGGGGGCUAGCGUUGUCCGGAUUUAUUGGGCGUAAAGAGCGUGUAGGCGGCCAGGUAGGUCCGUUGUGAAAACUCGAGGCUCAACCUCGAGACGUCGGCGGAAACCCUCUGGCUAGAGUCCGGAAGAGGAGAGUGGAAUUCCUGGUGUAGCGGUGAAAUGCGCAGAUAUCAGGAAGAACACCAAUGGCGAAGGCAGCUCUCUGGGACGGUACUGACACUGAGACGCGAAAGCGUGGGGAGCGAACAGG